GUUCCAGCCGCCGCGGUAAUACGUAGGAUCCAAGCGUUGUCCGGAUUUACUGGGUGUAAAGGGUGCGCAGGCGGACUUGUUAGUCAGAGGUGAAAUCUCACGGCUUAACCGUGAAACUGCCUUUGAUACUGCAGGUCUUGAAUUGGGGAGAGAGUUGUGGAAUUCCGAGUGUAGCAGUGAAAUGUGUAGAUAUUCGGAAGAACACCAGUGGCGAAGGCAGCAACUUGGCCCCAGAUUGACGCUCAGGCACGAAAGCAUGGGGAUCAAACAGGAUUAGAUACCCGGGUAGUCC
rnacentral:rRNA from 1 species